rnacentral:lncRNA from 9 species
UUUUUUUUCUUUUUCUAGUUAUCUCUAAAUGCUAAUUGAAAAUAGUUAUCACAAUAAAAGGGCAACAAAGUGGUACAAAAAGGUACCACUAUUAGUAGUUUCUUUUUAACAUACCACCUUUUAAUAAAAUUCAUUUUUAUUUCUAGCUCUAAAAAGUUAGAAUAUCACAGCAGACAGCAAGCGCUAUAAUAUUCGGAAAGGUAUGAAAAAGCCAUGGCUCGCUAGCCUGCGCUCUUCUAAGCAGGGAUCUGGAGAAGGAAGCUAAGCACAUGAUGAGAGCUAGAUGCACCGUCUAGCCCUUGGCCACAGCACAUUUGGGUGGGACCUCAGAAACUGAGGGCCAGGAGUGACUCAACAGUGUCUGGAAGAACACCUUCAUCUAUAGAGCAGGAGGCUGAGGCCCAACAUCAUGACCCAGUCACAUGACCAUUUGCUUUAGCGACUAUUAGCUUAGUGACUAACCAUGGAGAAAGAGGGCCAUGGUCAACCAUCUCUGCACCUGUCGUCAAAGGUGCAUGCAGUACAGAAGAGGAUUUGAGAAGGGUGAGAAAGACCAGCCUUAUGUCAACCCCACACCUGCUCCGGGUGCACGUUUCAUCCUUUAUGACUAGUUAGGAUCACAAUCCCUGACUACCUGGAAAAGUCACAGCUGCUGCUUCUUUUUUCAAUAUUAAGAACCCCAUCCUUCCAAACAAAGAGGUAGGAAAUUUCUGGUUUAAAUACCAGAGUAGCAUAUGAAAUACACAGAUGCGUCAGUUUCAGAAAAGGAGCAAGAACAAAGCAGGUGUGUAUGUGUUGUUGCAAACACAAUUUUUUCUUUUUUUUCUUUCUUUCUUUUCUUUUUUUUUUUUUUUUUGUCUUUUUACCAUUUCUUGGGCCACUCCUGCAGCAUAUGGAGGUUCCCAGGCUAAGGGUCCAAUCAGAGCUGUAGCCACUGGCCUAUGCCAGAGCCACAGCAAUGCAGGAUUCGAGCCAUGUAUGCAACCUAUACCACAGCUCAUGGCAACGCCGGGUCCUUAACCCACUGAGCAAGGCCAGGGAUCAAACCUGCAACCUCAUGGUUCCUAGUCGGAUUGUUAACCACUGAGCCACGAUGGAAACUCCCGAACACAAUUGCUUUUCAAGUGUUAAAUAUCACUCGAGAUGUACUGUCUACUAAUGAAAAUGAAAGCAGGAAGGAGUUGAUAUUCCUUUUAAGAGCAGCUACUUGCAUUUAAAAUAGUGAAAAGUUAUAAGGACCUACAGCACAGUACAGUAUAUUAAGAUAUUUAUUAUCUUAUAAUAACCCAUAAUGGAAAAGGAUCUGAAAAAGAAUAUGUAUGUAUAACUGAAUCACUAUGCUAUACAACUGAGACACUGCAAAUCAACCAUACUUCAAUUAAAAAAAUAGCAUAAAGUUUUCUGGUACCUCUUUCUUCUGUUCAGAAAACCAGCUGGUAUCUUUGUUUGAACCUUGCGGUAAUAUGUGAAGAUCCACCAGGACAGCAAAAUUCCCACACUGAAAGAAAGACAUUAAUGGCAGCAUUAACUCAUGCCCAGCAAACAAUGAGAGACUAUCUCACAAAUUCCUAUGUGGUUGCUCAUGAGGAAAGAGCAACAAAGUCACAACUGGACAGAAAUAUUAAUAUAAGACAGGGUACAGGUCAUAACCCCUAUGUUUUUUAAGUUUAAUAUUCAUAAUAGGGAGUUCCCAUCGUGGCUCAGUGGUUAACAAAUCUGACUAGGAAGCAUGAGGUUACGGGUUUGAUCCCUGGCCUGGAUCAGUGGGUUAAGGAUCUGGCGUUGCCGUGAGCUGUGGUGUAGGUUGCAGACACGGCUCGGAUCCCACGUUGCUGUGGUUCUGGUGUAGGCUGGCAGCUAUGGCUCUGAUUCGACCCCUAGCCUGGGAACCUCCAUGUGCUGUGGGAGCAACCCAAGAAAUGGAAAAAAAUACAAAAAAAAAUUUAUAAUAGCAAGGGAGAAUUUAAUUUUAAUUAGGAUGGUAGAGAUAAAAUAUCCAUCUCUGGGGCUGCACCGUGAAGGGGAGGCCCAGAAAUCCAGGAGCACUUGGAGGACAAUUAAAACACUGGGAAGAGUUUAAUAGGUCAGCCCUAGGCUUGCUCCAGAAAAGAAUGAUUCCUUGGACAGCCAGGGGGAAUUCUUUAUCAGGUAGGAGGAAUAGAUAGAAGCUACUGCAUUUUUAGAUGUACAAAAGAACUGGCUGGGAUCAUACAUCUUGGACUAGAAACAGAAGCAUAGAUGAAUGAAAAAGAACCAAGGAGAGAAUUCCUGUUGUGGCUCAGUGGUAACGAGCCCGACUAGUGUCCAUGAGGAUGCAGGUUUGAUCCCUGGCCUUGCUCAGUGAGUUAAGGAUCCAGCAUUUCCAUAAACUGUGGUGUAGGUCACAGACACAGCUUGGAUCUGGCAUUGCUGUGGCUGUGGCAUAGGCUGGCAGCUGCAGCUCAGAUUCAACCCUGAGCCUGGGAACUUCCAUAUGAUGCAGGUGCGGCCCUAAAAAGUGAAGAAGAAAAAAAAAAAGCAAAAAAAAAAGAACCAAGGAGAGGAAGGUAGGUGCUUAAUGACAGUUGUCAAAACUAAGUAAGUUUCAGGAGUUCCCUGGUGGCUUAGUGGGUUAAGGAUCUGGCCUUGCCACUGCUGUGACUCUGCUGGUUCAAUCCCUGGGGUGGAAUUUCUGCAUGUCGCAGGCAUGCCCCCCCCCAAAAAAAACAAACUAAAUAAGUUGCAUUCAAAUAUGCUACAAAGCCCAUCUCCUUUCUUAUUCUAGAGGCUAGUGCUGUCUAACAUUCAGGAAAAAAAAAAGGAAAUCUUUAUAUCUGCACUGUUGAAUAAGGACGUCCACAGCCAUAUAUGGUUACUGAGUAUGUGAAAUAUGGCUAUUGUGCCUGAGAGGCUGGAUGUUUAAUCUUAUUUUAUUUCAAUCUAAUUUAAACAGCCAGAUGUGGCUAGCAGCUGCAUGGCAUGGCUACAGACCUGUAAAAAGGUAGAGCCGCAUAAAUUCUUAAACCAUAAGAGUAAAGUAAUCUGAGAAUUUCAAGAUAAUUGAACUGUACUUAGAAAGGCACUGUGGGCCAGUUUACAGUUAGCACGGAAAGUCAAUCUGUACUUCUUGGGCUAAAUUUUUUUGUUGUUGUUUUGGUUUGGUUUUUGUUUUGCUUUAAUUCUGAACGACAAUUCAAUGGUGAAAGGAAAGUAUUUUCAACAAAUGCUGUGAGAAUGCCAGAUAUAAUAGGGAAAGAAAAUAAACUUGAUACCUACAUCGUAUCAUACACAAAAACUGAUCUGAGAUGAAUCACAGACCUAAACAUAAAAAAAACCAAACCUAUCUUCCUGACCUUGAAAUAGGAAAAAAUUUCUUAAACAGGAUCCAGAAAGCAUUAAGAAGGAAGAAAAAAAUCAUUACCUUAGACUUGACCAAAAUUAAAAACUUUUGCUUGAUCAAAAACAAAAACUUUUUGUGGCACAGUGGGUUAAGAAUCUGACUGCAGUGGCCUGGGUUGCCGCAGAGGCGUGCGUUUGAUCCCCAGCCUAGCACAGUGGGUUAAAGGAUCAGGCAUUGCCACACUUGCAGCUCAGAUUCAAUCCCUGGGAACUUCCAUAUGUCAUGGGUGUGGUCAUGAAAAAAAAAAAAUUUGCUCAUCGAAAGACACCAUUAAUAAAAUGGAUAUGCAUGCCACAUACUGGGAGAAAAUAUUCAUACAUGCCUAUGUCUGACACAAAGGACUAGAAUCUAAAAUGUGUGAAAAACACUCCUACGAGUUGAUGUUAAAGAAACAACCCAAGCUUGAACAGACACUUCACAAUUAAGAUAAAUAAUCGGCAAGUAAGCACGUGGAAAAAAGUGUCCAACAUCAUUAGUCGUCAAGCAAAUGCAAAUUAACACUGAGAGACACAGCUAACUACACACCUACCACAACGACUACAGUGAAAAAGACUGAUGCACACCAAAUGUAGAUGAGGGUGGGAGCAAUCCAAACACACACACUGCUAGUGGUUCAGCCACCUCAGCAAAUGGUCUGUCAGUUUCCCAUAGUUAAACACACACGGAUUUACCACCCAAGCCAGCAAUUCCACCUCAGGUAUUUAUUUACCCAAGAGGUAAAACAAAUGUGCGCACAAAGACAUGUAUACAAAGGUAUGUGAAAGUUUUAUUUGCAAGAGUCAAAAUGGAAGACAAUCCCACAGUCUCUCUACAGGAGACUAAAGAAAGUGUGGUAGGUGUUCCUGUCGUGGCUCAGUGGAAGUGAAUCUGACUAGUAUCCAUGAGGACGCAGGUUCAAUCCCUGGCCUCCCUCAGUGGGUUAAGGAUCAGGCAUUGCUGUGAGCUGUGGUGUAGGUCGCAGAUGCAGCUCGGAUCCCACAUUACUGUGCCUGUGGUAUAGGCCAGUGGCUGCAGCUCCAAUUGGACCCCUAUCCUGGGAAGCUCCAUAUGCCACGGUGCAACCCUAAAAAGACCAAAAAAAAAAAAAAAAAGAAAAAAAAAGAAAGCAUGGUACAUUCAUGCCACAGAAUGCUCCUCACCAAGCCCAAAACAGACUAAUCUCAACGUCGUUGCACUGAGCAAAGCCAGGCUAAAGUACGUCCUCUGUGAUUCCACUGAUAUAAAGUUCUAGAAAAGCAAAAUUAAAUCUAUGGUCAAAGUAAUCAGAACAGUGCUUACCUAUGGAGAAACUGAUGGGAGAGCUUUGUGUGGUGAUAAAAGUAUUCUGUCUUGAUAGACACUUAAGACCAGUUCAUUCCCCUGCACAUAUGCUACAUAUCAAUAAACAAUUUUUAAAAUAUUUGUAAAAAUACACUCAUAUUUGUUGACAGUUAUUUAAGGUAUAAGUUAUGUCCCUGAAAAUGUGCGGGUUUUAGGGGAGACCAAAGUGAACUUCCCUGGGUAAUAAAUUGUAAAGAAUAAUGAAAAAUGGUCCUCCCACAACGUCAAACAGUGCAGUGUGACCCACGGAACUGCAGUUCAGUGUGUUGUAGCCAGCAUUUUGUCUUAAGGAAAUAGAGUUGAAGAGAAUAUUGCAGUGGGAGAAAAAAUAUCAAUGGUUAUACCUUGGUCAAGUCUUGUUUUGUGAAAGUUAUGAAUGAGCAUACUGAUUAUAAUAUAAAGCCUAUUCCUUACUGUGGGUUGUGGUCAAAAAUUUUUGAAAACCAUAUUCAAAUAUACUGUUAUUCUAAGUUUCUUCACAAAUGUUGAUUAUAGAGUUAACCUUUAAGGAGUAUGCUGCCACCAGGUGGAGGUCUUAUGCCACAGCUACAGGAUCUUAGCCAGGGGUUAUUAACCUCUCGUGUGCCACGGACCUCUUCGGUCAGUUGUGAAGCUGAUGAAACCUGCUCGUAAUAAUGUUUUUAAAUGCAUGGAAACACAGUGCAUAGGAUUCGAAAGGAAAACCAAUUAUGCUGAAGUAUGGGUAUCCAUAUUUUUAAAAAAAAUCUGUCACAUAGUAAUGAAUGGACUUGUUCAAUAAAGCACUGGCUCUCUUCAGAUAGUGGUGAAUCUAAAAACUACGAUAAAUCCAAAGUAGUGAUAAGCAUAAAUUACAUUUUCAGAUAUCUAUCACACUAUAUGAAAAGAGUUGUGAUUUCUAAUGGUAACAAAUAUUGCUAAUUUAUUGUGUUCUGCAUUUUUCAUUCAUAAUAAAAACAAAAUUUAGGAGUUUCUAUUGUGGCCUAGGGGGUUAAGAACCUGACUAGUAUGUGUGAGGAUGCCCGUUCGAUCCCUUGCCUAGCUCUGCAGGUUAAGGAUCCAGCAUUGCCCUAAGCUCUGGUGUAGUUUGCAGAUACGGCUUGGAUCUGGCUUUGCUGUGGCUGUGGUAUAGACCAUGGCUACAGCUCCGAUUUGAUCCCUAGCAUAGGAACUUUCAUAUGCCGCCAGUGUGGCCCUAAUUUUUUUUUUUUCUUUUUAGGGCCACACCUGCAGCAUAUGGAGGUUCCCAGGCUAGGGGUCAAAUCGGAGCUACAGCUGCCAGCCCAUGACACAGCCACAGCAACACCAGAUCCGAGCUGCACCUGUGAACUACAUCACAGCUCAUGGGCAACACCGGAUCCUUAACCCACUGAGUGAGGCCAGGGAUGGAACCCACAACCCCAUGGUUCUUAGUCAGAUUACUUUCUGCUGUGCCACAAUGUGAACUCCCCUAAUUUUUUAAAAGUUAAAAAAAUAAUUAGAACUUGAUCAAAAUAAAGAUGUAACUUUUUUCCCAUGCAAGUUCACCAACCCUCUGAAUUCUAUCAUAAGCCUGUUGAGAUUGCAGGUAUCCUGGAACAAAAGCCCCUCUAAAGAGGGGAGACAUGCCUCACACAUGUUCUGCUGGGUUUCCCCCCUUCAUCAUCAGCAAUGAUAAUAUUUUUAAAUUAAAAAAAAAUUGAUGUUUGAACAACUUGAACUGGAACUACGUAAUAGUAACUUUCUAAAAAAAAUUGAAUAGUAAGGUCCAAUUUGACAUUUUUUCAUUGCUUGUAAUUUUGAUCCCAAAGUAGUCUGGUUGGUUCCAAGCAGACUUAUUAAAAUUUUUUGUUGUUGUUUUUGUUUUUUUUUUAAUAAAUCACUGAAUCUUACUCUGGUGCUCAGACUUUCCUGGGCUUCCUGCCAGACUCCCCGAGCCCCUUCCCCCAUGCCGGGGCUCUCCCUCUGCAGCCAGCCUUCUGAGUUCUCCAGCAAGAGUUCUCUCCAACUCCCACACUAAUCAGAGGUAUUUUGCCUGUCUAAAGUUCCCUGCCUCAAAGCUUUGCUUCUUUUCUCCCAUGAGUAAACAGAAGUGGGAAAAAAAAAAAAGAAAGAAAGAAAGAAA